GACGAACGCUGGCGGCGUGCCUAACACAUGCAAGUCGAACGGAAAGGCCCUGCUUUUGUGGGGUGCUCGAUUGGCGAACGGGUGAGUAACACGUGAGUAACCUGCCCUUGACUUUGGGAUAACUUCAGGAAACUGCGGCGAAUACCGGAUAGGAUCUCCUGCUGCAUGGUGUUGGUUGGUAAGUUUCGGCGGUUGGGGAUGGACUCGCGGCUUAUCAGCUGGUUGGUGGGGUAGUUGCUGACCAAGGCUUUGACGGGUAGCCGGCCUGAGAGGGUUACCGGCGACAUUGCGCCUGAGAUACGGCCCAGACUCCUACGGGAGGCAGCAGUGGGGAAUAUUACACAAUGGCGGGAAGCCUGAUGCAGCAACGCCGCGUGCGGGAUAACGGCUUUCGGGUUGUAAACCGAUUUGGCCUGUGACGAAGCGUGAGUGACGGUAAUGGGUAAAGAAGCCCCGGCUAACUACGUG
rnacentral:rRNA from 1 species